rnacentral:sRNA from 1 species
GGGGCGCCGAACAGACUAAACUUCAAAGUUGGUGUCUGCGUCUCCGUCUCUCUAGU